rnacentral:rRNA from 1 species
GACGAACGCUGGCGGCGUGCCUAAUACAUGCAAGUAGAACGCUGAAGGAGGAGCUUGCUUCUCUGGAUGAGUUGCGAACGGGUGAGUAACGCGUAGGUAACCUGCCUGGUAGCGGGGGAUAACUAUUGGAAACGAUAGCUAAUACCGCAUAAGAGUAGAUGUUGCAUGACAUUUGCUUAAAAGGUGCAAUUGCAUCACUACCAGAUGGACCUGCGUUGUAUUAGCUAGUUGGUGGGGUAACGGCUCACCAAGGCGACGAUACAUAGCCGACCUGAGAGGGUGAUCGGCCACACUGGGACUGAGAAACGGCCCAGACUCCUACGGGAGGCAGCAGUAGGGAAUCUUCGGCAAUGGACGGAAGUCUGACCGAGCAACGCCGCGUGAGUGAAGAAGGUUUUCGGAUCGUAAAGCUCUGUUGUAAGAGAAGAACGAGUGUGAGAGUGGAAAGUUCACACUGUGACGGUAUCUUAACAGAAAGGGACGGCUAACUACGUG